rnacentral:rRNA from 1 species
GACGAACGCUGGCGGCGUGCCUAACACAUGCAAGUCGAACGGAGGAGUUCAGCAAUGGAUUUCUUAGUGGCGAACGGGUGAGUAACGCGUAGACAACCUGCCUCUAAGCUGGGGACAACAACUCGAAAGGGUUGCUAAUACCGAAUGUGAACAGUGCCUCGCAUGAGAUGCUGUUUGAAGGUGGCCUCUGAAUAUGCUACCGCUUAGAGAUGGGUCUGCGUCUGAUUAGCUAGUUGGAGGGGUAAUGGCCCACCAAGGCGACGAUCAGUAGCCGGUCUGGGAGGAGGGACGGCCGUACGGGGACUGAGACACGGCCCAGACUCCUACGGGAGGCAGCAGUGGGGAAUCUUCCGCAAUGGACGAAAGUCUGACGGAGCAACGCCGCGUGAGUGAAGAAGGCCCUCGGGUCGUAAAGCUCUGUCUUCAGGGACGAAUGUGCAGAUUGUGAAUAAUGGUUUGUAAUGACGGUACCUGAGGAGGAAGCCACGGCUAACUACGUGCCAGCCGCCGCCGUAA